AUUGAACGCUGGCGGCAUGCCUUACACAUGCAAGUCGAACGGUAACAGGUCUUCGGAUGCUGACGAGUGGCGAACGGGUGAGUAAUACAUCGGAACGUGCCUAGUAGUGGGGGAUAACUACUCGAAAGAGUGGCUAAUACCGCAUGAGAUCUACGGAUGAAAGCAGGGGAUCGCAAGACCUUGUGCUACUAGAGCGGCCGAUGGCAGAUUAGGUAGUUGGUGGGAUAAAAGCUUACCAAGCCGACGAUCUGUAGCUGGUCUGAGAGGACGAGCAGCCACACAGGGACUGAGACACGGCCCAGACUCCUACGGGAGGCAGCAGUGGGGAAUUUUGGACAAUGGGCGCAAGCCUGGUCCAGCAAUGCCGCGUGCAGGAUGAAGGCCUUCGGGUUGUAAACUGCUUUUGUACGGAACGAAAAGCCCUGGGUUAAUACCCUGGGGUCAUGACGGUACCGUAAGAAUAAGCACCGGCUAACUACGUGCCAGCCGCCGCAGUAA
rnacentral:rRNA from 1 species